UGGCCUCACCCAACCCAAACCCUAAUCUCCUCUCCUCUCUCUCUCUCUCCACUCCUCUCUGCUGCCGCGGAAGUCGCCACCGACGGCGUCCAACCUCCAAACAGCCCCAAAAUUUCACCAUGUAACCUCCAAAACCUCCUCUUUUCAUAUCUUCAAACUAAAUCCUUCGAAAACCCCUCAAACUCUACGAAUUUCAGAUCUAGGAAACCCUAGCAGCCACCCUUUUGCUCAAAUUCGUGAAGCUCCGGUCACCUUCGCCCCAUUACACAUACAUGAACGGAUUUAGCUCCACGAUACCUACCAUUUCCCCUUGCUCUUCACCAAAACGCCAUCCGAAUCCCGGUGACCACCGCCCGCCGCCACCACUGCCGCUGCUCACUUUUCUUUUCCUUCUUAUUUUCUUCUUCCCUUCUGCCCCUCUUGCCUAGACACAACUCAAGCGAGCUUUUCACGCUCGCACGAUACCGAGAUAGAAACUCGUUCUCCGGACCUUUAGUUUUGGUAUCUGCCAAUAUGAAAAGUUUGCUUCGUGGUCGAUUUGUCGUUGCCCGUUAUCCCCGACACAUCCUCGCUGCUCGAGUUAGCAUCGAAUCCCCUAUUUUGAUUUUUAGGUUGUCCUUUCACCUUUUGGACAGCCUUUGAACAAUGUUUAGCACACAAAGUCAGCCCUUUUGGACAGGCUUUUGGUGAACAAAAAUCUGUCCAAAAAGUGACUUUAUUUGCCUAUUUAAGGGGAUGCUCUUUCCUCACUUCAGAAACUGGAAUGACUCCAACUGAAAACACAAAAAACUUGAGAGAAAAAGAUGGCUGAACAUAUAACAACAAAGCUAAAGAACAGAGAGUUUCUUUGGAGGGAUAAACUUUGAGAGCAAAAAUCCUCUAAAAAAUUGAGAGUCUUUCAAGGUUCUUUGGUUUUCUUUUGAGAUUCUUGUCUAUUCAACUGUGGCUGGUUUAUUCCUGGGUCAUUAUCGAGGUUUCAGGUUGUUGAGUUGUUGUUCGUUCUUGCUGGGAGUGCUGUUCAUUUUUCCUUUUCAAGCAAGUUUUUUCACUGCUUCCAGUUUCUGCAUUUAGGUACUCUUCUUAUUUUUCUUUCUUAAUGUAAUUUGAUUUGGCUUGGAAUGAAGGCAUGAAGGUGUUGAUGUGCUAUAACUGUGUCAUUACGUUGUGUGAUUUCUGCCCACAAGAGGAGUGAAUAAAUGUUUAACUUCACGGGCUAGAGUUCCACUCGUUAUUUUAGAUUAUCGAACUGUCGUGAUCCAUUCUUAGUGGUUAUAAUACAUGAAUGAUUUGAGUUAUUGUAGUAUGUGACGAAAGAAGUAGAAAAAUAUAGUUUUAAGUUCAUACCUGUCAAUUUUUAGUGUAGUUGCAACAGUCCCUAUUAAGAAAAAGAAUUAGUUUUACUUCACUAAAAGUUCUUGUAAUAAUCUGUCACAUUGAAGUUUACUUAAAUAUUUCCUUCACGUAUUGUCAUUGUCCUUUGCUGAGAUUCAUAGCUACAUGAUUUCAUGGAAGUUGGUGAUACAUUCUAAUACAAUCCUUGUUUAGCUUUUUUCUA